AACCGGGUGAGUAACACGUGAGUAACCUGCCCUUGACUCUGGGAUAAGCCUGGGAAACUGGGUCUAAUACUGGAUAUGACUUCUCAUCGCAUGGUGGGGGUGGAAAGAUUUAUUGGUCUUGGAUGGACUCGCGGCCUAUCAGCUUGUUGGUGAGGUAAUGGCUCACCAAGGCGACGACGGGUAGCCGGCCUGAGAGGGUGACCGGCCACACUGGGACUGAGACACGGCCCAGACUCCUACGGGAGGCAGCAGUGGGGAAUAUUGCACAAUGGGCGCAAGCCUGAUGCAGCGACGCCGCGUGAGGGAUGACGGCCUUCGGGUUGUAAACCUCUUUCAGUAGGGAAGAAGCGAGAGUGACGGUACCUGCAGAAGAAGCGCCGGCUAACUACGUGCCAGCAGCCGCGGUAAUACGUAGGGCGCGAGCGUUAUCCGGAAUUAUUGGGCGUAAAGAGCUCGUAGGCGGUUUGUCGCGUCUGCCGUGAAAGUCCGGGGCUUAACUCCGGAUCUGCGGUGGGUACGGGCAGACUAGAGUGCAGUAGGGGAGACUGGAAUUUCCUGGUGUAGCGGUGAAAUGCGCAGAUAUCAGGAGGAACACCGAUGGCGAAGGCAGGUCUCUGGGCUGUGAACUGACCUUAGGACAAACUGGGAACAACAGGAUUAAUACCUGUUCCAUCCAACUGGCCUAGUUGGGAAUUCCUUUCCCGCCUACUUAUCCCCUCGGGAUAGCCGGAAACAAGAUAGGCCAGGGAUAGUUAACACAAACAUGUUUCUCACGCAGAUUCG
rnacentral:rRNA from 1 species